UUAGUCCACAAGCAACAGGACAACUCUGGAACUUGCCUGCACCCAAGAAGCUAAGCUUACAAUUUGGUUUCAAGAUCGAGGGUGCUUGCAAGGUAUCUCACUGACCUCAUGAUGGUGAUCUGUUCUCUGCUGUUCUGAAAAGCUGGUGUCCAAGCUGAUUUGCUCUUCAGAAGUCUUUCACAUCUACCUCAAGCAAGGGUUUUGGUGGCAUGACGUGCAAGGACAAGAUCACAUACACCUGGGGUACCUUCUUUAGCACUCUGCAGUCGCCGAUGGUCGUCUCUCAAGUGUGUUCACUCUCCUGAAACACUCCUAAGGGUGAAGGCGGUGUGUGGAGCCAUGCAGAUUUCCCCACUCUGCCUAACACAGCGCCUUGCCCAUGGUAACCACAGUACUUGAGUGAAAA